rnacentral:rRNA from 1 species
AAUGAACGCUGGCGGCAAGCCUAACACAUGCAAGUCGAACGGGGUUAUAUAUAGCUUGCUAUAGUGUAGCCUAGUGGCAGAGGGGUGAGUAAUGUAUAGGAAUCUACCUAGUAGUACGGAAUAAUUACUGGAAACGGCAACUAAUACCGUAUACGCCCUAUGGGGGAAAGAUUUAUUGCUAUUAGAUGAGCCUAUAUUAGAUUAGCUAGUUGGUAGGGUAAUGGCCUACCAAGGCUAUGAUCUAUAGCUGAUCUGAGAGGAUGAUCAGCCACACUGGAACUGAGAUACG